UUGAAACAUCAUGAUUUACUUCCUCCCAGACAGUGCGUCAGCCAACUGGUUUUGGUUUCUUGUCUUCUGAGCACGAGAGAUGCAAAGAUCGGCUUUAUCAGAGCAGGACAUUCAAAAGAAAACAGGAAACAAGAAAACGAUCUCGUAUCGAAGAAGACUCGUCAGACAAGUAUGACUCCAGGGAUGUGGACAGGUUAUGGAAGGAUGAUGUUUUGGUUGACUGUUAUCUGGAGUGGCGCCACUUUGUGGUGGAGGACACCUUGAAGAUGAUCGAUGAGAGUCUUCAGUGGAGAAAAGAAUUCAAACAGAAUGGUGGAUUGACCUUUGCCUUUACAGGGACUUGAUGUCAACCAGUGGCCUUGUCCCAUACUGUAUAGCUGUAUUAAUGAAUAUAUAGCUCCAACAAAGAACAGUAGAAUAGCUUGGCUAGGACACAUACCCUGUUAUUGUGCAUUCUUGCAAAUUGCUGACAAACUUCCACUGGUUCAACAUGAUGGUGUUGAUAAGGUGUUUCUCGAUUUGAAAUGUCUUUAUGUAAUGAAUAGUGCUAUAUAAGUAUAAUAUGUAAGAAUGAUGUAUUAUUAUUAUUAUUAUAGACAGCAUUGAGAGUCCAGUUUGAUUCAUGUUUUUAAUAUCCCUUUCUCUUCCAUACAUCAUGAAAGCUCUGUUCAAAGUCUCUAUUUAAGUCUGGCAUGCAUUAUGUCCACGGCUAUGAUAAAGAUUGCAACAAACUGUGUAUGUAUUUAAAUAAUAAUAAUAAUAAUAAUAAUUAAACACUGACAAUCAAGAAGGUUCAGAAAUGUUGUUUCUGAGACCUAACUUAUGGCCACCCUCAUCAUUUUAUCUCUUGUAAAAGCCUCGUCCUCUGGGGUGCUGUGAUCAUUUUUCCAUGCAUCUCACUAUUCAGAUUGUAGUUUCCUGAUUCAAGUUAGGAUUGGGAUUGGCAAUCUUGUGUUUUUGUAUGGUGGAUUACAGUUAGUCUUUUUGAGCUAUUUGGGUAUCUGCCUUGAAGGCCACUGAGGUUUGCUUGUAUGUUGUCUGCCCAGUCUGGUUCAGGGUUAAGUUGCACAUGAAGGAUGUGAAGAUGUUGACGGAGAAGAAAAUGUACGUGGCCUUCUGGUUGGAGAGCUACGCCCGGCGGGAACCGGGGAUUCCCCUCACAGGGAUCUUUGACAUGUCCGAAGCGGGUCUAAGCUGCGUUGUAAGAUGUCUGCUCUCCUCUCAUUCCCCUCUAGCUGAUUUUGUUUUGUGGAACUUGGUAUCAAUGUCCAAACAUUGUGUUAACAAGUCACUGAGUGGAUCUUUACACACUAAUGCUUGUCUUUGGUUUCCUUUUAAACUACCGUUGGGAAGACACUAAGGUAAACCUGAACUUUCCUCACCUAUUCUAUACUCAUUCAUGUUCUGUUAUUUAUUUUCCAUAUUAUGUACUGUGCAUGACAAGAAGAAACAUGUGGUAGAUGGCAAACUCUGAAAUACUAGAUGCUGACUAUUAAAUGCAUUAUAUACAUUUUUCUCUCUGAGUGGUUUCUUAGGAGCCUAAGACAGUAUAAACAGUAGCAUUGUCUGGAGUACA